UGGGGAAUAUUGCACAAUGGGCGAAAGCCUGAUGCAGCAACGCCGCGUGAGUGAUGAAGGUCUUCGGAUUGUAAAGCUCUGUCUUUUGGGACGAUAAUGACGGUACCAAAGGAGGAAGCCACGGCUAACUACGUGCCAGCAGCCGCGGUAAUACGUAGGUGGCGAGCGUUGUCCGGAUUUACUGGGCGUAAAGGGUGCGUAGGCGGAUGUUUAAGUGAGAUGUGAAAUACCCGGGCUUAACUUGGGUGCUGCAUUUCAAACUGGAUAUCUAGAGUGCAGGAGAGGAGAAUGGAAUUCCUAGUGUAGCGGUGAAAUGCGUAGAGAUUAGGAAGAACACCAGUGGCGAAGGCGAUUCUCUGGAUUGUAACUGACGCUGAGGCACGAAAGCGUGGGUAGCAAACAGGAUUAGAUACCCUGGUAGUCCACGCCGUAAACGAUGAGUACUAGGUGUAGGAGGUAUCGACCCCUUCUGUGCCGCAGUAAAACACAUUAAGUACUCCGCCUGGGAAGUACGAUCGCAAGAUUAAAAACUCU
rnacentral:rRNA from 1 species